rnacentral:rRNA from 1 species
UACCCGCGGCCCGAGUGGUGCUCAUUAUUAUUGAGCCUAAAGCGUCCGUAGCUGGCCGGGUAAAUCCCUGGGGAAAUCGGGCGACUCAAUCGACCGAAGUCCAGGGACACUACUUGGCUUGGGAUCGGGAGAGGGUGAUAGUACUCCCUGGGUAGGGGUAAAAUCCUGUAAUCCAGGGGGGACUACCAGUGGCGAAGGCGAUCACCUAGAACGAAUCCGACAGUGAGGGACGAAGGCUAGGGGAGCAAACCGG